UGAGGAAUAUUGGUCAAUGGGCGAGAGCCUGAACCAGCCAAGUAGCGUGCAGGAUGACGGCCCUAUGGGUUGUAAACUGCUUUUAUGUGGGGAUUAAGUGCGUGACGUGUCAUGCAUUGCAGGUACCACAUGAAUAAGGACCGGCUAAUUCCGUGCCAGCAGCCGCGGUAAUACGGAAGGUCCGGGCGUUAUCCGGAUUUAUUGGGUUUAAAGGGAGCGUAGGCUGUCUAUUAAGCGUGUUGUGAAAUUUACCGGCUCAACCGGUGGCUUGCAGCGCGAACUGGUCGACUUGAGUAUGCAGGAAGUAGGCGGAAUUCAUGGUGUAGCGGUGAAAUGCUUAGAUAUCAUGACGAACUCCGAUUGCGCAGGCAGCUUACUGUAGCAUAACUGACGCUGAUGCUCGAAAGUGCGGGUAUCAAACAGG
rnacentral:rRNA from 1 species